UCAGACGAUGCGUCAUGCAUAUCAAUAAGCGGAGGAAAAGAAACUAACUAAGGAUUCCCUCAGUAACGGCGAGUGAAGCGGGAAGAGCUCAAAUUUGAAAUCUUCAAGGUUCUACCUUGACGAAUUGUAGUUUAAAGAAGUGUUUUCUGUUGGAGUUUUGGUAAAAGUUCUUUGGAAUAGGACAUCAUAGAGGGUGAGAAUCCCGUAUUUGACCAUUAUUUCCAGCUUUGUGAUACACUUUCAAAGAGUCGGAUUGUUUGGGAAUGCAGUCCAAAAUGGGUGGUAAAUUUCAUCUAAAGCUAAAUAUUGGCGAGAGACCGAUAGCGAACAAGUACCGUGAGGGAAAGAUGAAAAGAACUUUGAAAAGAGAGUUAAACAGUACGUGAAAUUGUCAAAAGGGAAGCGUUUGACACCAGUGUUGUUUUCUCGAAAAUCAAUUAAAAAAGGCAGGAUUUUGUGUUGUAUUGACUUUAUCAGCUUUCUGCACUCUUUUCUUGUCUUUUUUUAAUGCACUUUUCGUUUAACAAGUCAACAUCAAUUUCUUUUGUUGUAAAAGGGUCAUUGGAAGGUGGCUUUCUUUUCGGAGAAAGUGUUUAUAGCCUUUGGCCUCUGCAAUCGGAGAGAUUGAGGUCUGCAGCGUAGAUCCUUCGGGGUUAGAUACAUUUGUGCUAAGUUAUAGCCUUUCGUAGACAACUUGUUGACUAUGAUCAGUCAUGUAGCUUACUCGCUUAUGCUAUUUUACCUACGCUUAGGAUGUUGAUCUACAGAGCGAGAGU
rnacentral:rRNA from 1 species